UACGAAGGGUGCAAGCGUUACUCGGAAUUACUGGGCGUAAAGCGUGCGUAGGUGGUUUGUUAAGUCUGCUGUGAAAGCCCCGGGCUCAACCUGGGAAUGGCAGUGGAUACUGGCAAGCUAGAGUGCGGUAGAGGGGUGUGGAAUUCCCGGUGUAGCGGUGAAAUUCGUAGAUAUUAGGAAGAACACCAGUGGCGAAGGCGGCUCACUGGCCCGGUACUGACGCUGAGGCGCGAAAGCGUGGGGAGCAAACAGG
rnacentral:rRNA from 1 species